UUACCCUCAUGAUCAUAGAAUGUACUGGACUAAAAGACUGCCUUUCACCUCCUCCUCAUCUGUAAAGCCAACAGUACACUGAGCUUACUAUUUUCCAGCUUAAGUAGGGUAGGAUAUGGAAUCAUUAGAAGCAUAGAUACUGGAGGUGGGGAGGCUGUGUCCAUGCAGCGGGCUCCUACCUACAACCAACAGAAAGAGCUUGGGUGGAUCUGAGCCAUCAAGAAUUCAAAAGAAGGUUACCAGGCAGCUGGGAAAGCAUGGGGAGCAGGUGAACCAGGCUUGGGAAAUCCCAGCCAAGGAAAGUUCUGAAUUGGCCUAUGGCCAACUGCCCAGCCUUCACACCUUCCUGGAGUCUGCACCUGUGCUCUGCCUGCCUUCUUCAUUCCCUGAGAGAGGAGAGAAGAUGGACCGAGCGAGACCACGGGGUCAAAAGAUUUCCCCCUUCUGUUCAUCUCUGUCACUAGCAGGGCAUCCCUGAAGACCCCGAGUGUCUUCUAUAUGCUUACUAUUGUUUUCUUGUGAUAAAGGCCGCAUUACA